AUAUCAAUAAGCGGAGGAAAAGAAACUAACAAGGAUUCCCCUAGUAACUGCGAGUGAAGCGGGAAAAGCUCAAAUUUAAAAUCUGGCGGUCUUUGGCCGUCCGAGUUGUAAUCUAGAGAAGCGUCACCCGCGCUGGACCGUGUACAAGUCUCCUGGAAUGGAGCGUCAUAGAGGGUGAGAAUCCCGUCUCUGACACGGACUCCCAGGGCUUUGUGGUGCGCUCUCGAAGAGUCGAGUUGUUUGGGAAUGCAGCUCUAAAUGGGUGGUAAAUUCCAUCUAAAGCUAAAUAUUGGCGAGAGACCGAUAGCGAACAAGUACCGUGAGGGAAAGAUGAAAAGAACUUUGGAAAGAGAGUUAAACAGUACGUGAAAUUGCUGAAAGGGAAACGCUUGAAGUCAGUCGCGUUGGCCGGGGAUCAGCCUCGCUCUUGCGUGGUGUACUUCCUGGUUGACGGGUCAGCAUCAAUUUUGAUCGCUGGAAAAGGGCAUGAGGAAUGUGGCAUCUUCGGAUGUGUUAUAGCCUCUUGUCGCAUACGGCGGUUGGGAUUGAGGAACUCAGCACGCCGUAAGGCCGGGUUUCGACCACGUUCGUGCUUAGGAUGCUGGCAUAAUGGCUUUAAUCGA
rnacentral:rRNA from 1 species